UUCACCGAAGCAUGUGUGAAGUAGCUGUCUAGAUAGAUUGGAAGUGUUCUCUUCGUGCUUAUCCUCAUGUUUCUUUGAAGAACUUGAGAACCAUGUUCCUGAAUAUUAACAUGCUUCUGAAGAUUGAGUAAAAAAGUAUUCCCCAAGGUGCGUGUGUGGAUACGUACCAGUGCAUUGACGCCAACAGCACGUGCGUAAGAGAACGUUGCACGUGUACGUACGGGCUUUUCGCUAACGGAUCCGUCUGUGAUCCACAAACGGGACUGGGCGGAUCGUGCACGGUGGAAUGGGAGUGCCGUGGCCGCCACACGUCAUGCACGGCGGGAACAUGCACGUGUCAGUUUGGCUUCUUGCAUGUCAACGGCACGGACAAUUGCUCGGGCACUAAAGGUUUAGUUCUGGCCCAAGACACCGGUCUAAUGGUGACACUAGCUGUUGUGAGCGUGAUGUUAGCUUCCUUUCUGCACCAAUGAUGGAUAAAUGUGACUGUGACACUAGAUGUUGUAACCGUGAUGUUAGCUUCCUUUCUGCACCAAUGAUGGAUAAAUGUGACUUUGACACUAGAUGUUGUAACCGUGAUGUUAGCUUCGAUGAACAAAUGUGACUGUGACACUAGCUGUUGUAACCGUGAUGUUAGCUUCGAUGAACAAUUGUGACUGUGACACUAGCCGUUGUUACCCUGAUGUUAGCUUCGAUGAACAAAUGUGACUGUGACCCUAGCGGUUGUAACUCUGAUGUUAGCUAAGAUGAACAAAUGUGACUGUGACACUAGCCGUUGUUACCCUGAUGUUAGCUUCGAUGAACAAAUGUGACUGUGACACUAGCUGUUGUAACUCUGAUGUUAGCUUCGAUGAACAAAUGUGACUGUGACACUAGUCGUUGUUACCCUGAUGUUAGCUUCGAUGAACAAAUGUGACUGUGACACUAGCUGUUGUUACUCUGAUGUAAGCUUCGAUGAACAAAUGUGACUGUGACACUAGCUGUUGUUACCCUGAUGUUAGCUUCGAUGAACAAAUGUG